UACGUAGGGGGCAAGCGUUGUCCGGAUUUAUUGGGCGUAAAGGGCGCGUAGGUGGCCUUCUAAGUCGAACGUGAAAUCCCUGGGCUCAACCCAGGAACUGCGUCCGAGACUGGGAGGCUUGAGUCCGGGAGAGGGAUGCGGAAUUCCAGGUGUAGCGGUGAAAUGCGUAGAUAUCGAGAGGAACACCGGCGGCGAAGGCGGGUUGCUGGGCUGACACUGACGCUGAUGCGCGAAAGCCAGGGGAGCGAACGGG
rnacentral:rRNA from 1 species